rnacentral:rRNA from 1 species
CCUACGGGAGGCAGCAGUGAGGAAUAUUGGUCAAUGGCCGGAAGGCUGAACCAGCCAUGCCGCGUGAAGGUCAGUGCCCUAUGGGCGUUAAACUUCUUUUGUGCGGGAGCAAUAAUGGUCACGUGUGGCCAGACGAGAGUACCGUACGAAUAAGCAUCGGCUAACUCCGUGCCAGCAGCCGCGGUAAUACGGGGGAUGCAAGCGUUAUCCGGAUUUAUUGGGUUUAAAGGGUGCGUAGGCUGUGAGGUAAGUCAGCGGUGAAAUGCCCCCGCUCAACGGGGUGAAGUGCCAUUGAUACUGCCUGGCUGGAAUGCGGAUGACGUGGAAGGAAUGUGUGGUGUAGCGGUGAAAUGCAUAGAUAUCACACAGAACACCGAUUGCGAAGGCAUCUCACGAAUCCGCGAUUGACGCUGAUGCACGAAAGCGUGGGUAUCAAACAGGAUUAGAUACCCGGGUAGUC